rnacentral:rRNA from 1 species
UACGAAGGGGGGCUAGCGUUGCUCGGAAUCACUGGGCGUAAAGCGCACGUAGGCGGAUUGUUAAGUCAGGGGUGAAAUCCUGGAGCUCAACUCCAGAACUGCCUUUGAUACUGGCGAUCUCGAGUCCGGGAGAGGUGAGUGGAACUGCGAGUGUAGAGGUGAAAUUCGUAGAUAUUCGCAAGAACACCAGUGGCGAAGGCGGCUCACUGGCCCGGUACUGACGCUGAGGUGCGAAAGCG